rnacentral:rRNA from 1 species
UGAGGAAUAUUGCGCAAUGGGCGAAAGCCUGACGCAGCGACGCCGCGUGGAGGAUGAAGGUUUUCGGAUUGUAAACUCCUGUUAAGUGGGAAGAAACGACAAAAUAUAAUACAUUUUGUAACUGACGGUACCAUUAAAGAAAGCACCGGCUAACUUCGUGCCAGCAGCCGCGGUAAUACGAGGGGUGCAAGCGUUAUUCGGAAUUAUUGGGCGUAAAGGGUGCGUAGGCGGCGUAUUAAGUCAACUGUUAAAACCUCCAGCCUAACUGGAGAUCAGCAGUAGAUACUGGUAUGCUAGAGGAUGGAAGAGAGAAGUGGAAUUCUUGGAGUAGCGGUGGAAUGCGUAGAUCUCAAGAGGAACACCAAUGGCGAAGGCAGCUUCUUGGUCCAUAUCUGACGCUGAUGCACGAAAGCGUGGGGAGCAAACAGGAUUAGAUACCCUGGUAGUCCACGCCGUAAACGAUGAUCACUAGAUGUUAAUUCUGCUUGCAGAAUUAGUGUCGUAGCUAACGCGAUAAGUGAUCCGCCUGGGGGACUACGGUCGCAAGAUUAAAA